UUUAGGCCAUAGCGCGUCAAAGGCAAAGUGA
rnacentral:piRNA from 1 species